AGGACGAACGCUGGCGGCGUGCUUAACACAUGCAAGUCGAGGGGGCAGUUGGGGCAACCUGGCUGUCACCGGCGAACGGGUGCGUAACACGUGAGCGACCUACCUCUUGGCGGGGGAUAGCCGGCCCAACGGCCGGGUAAUACCGCAUACGCUCCCUUCUGGGCAUCUGGGGGGGAGGAAACUUUCGAGGCAGAGAGAGGGGCUCGCGGCCUAUCAGCUAGUUGGCGGGUAACGGCCCACCAAGGCAUCGACGGGUAGC
rnacentral:rRNA from 1 species